UUUAAUUCGAAGCAACGCGAAGAACCUUACCUGGGUUUGAACUGCAGAGGUAAGCCUCAGAGAUGAGGUCCCCUCUUCGGAGGUCUCUGUAGAGGUGCUGCAUGGCUGUCGUCAGCUCGUGUCGUGAGAUGUUGGGUUAAGUCCCGCAACGAGCGCAACCCUUGUCACAGUUGCUAACGCGUAAUGGCGAGAACUCUGUGGAGACAGCCGGUGAUAAACCGGAGGAAGGUGGGGAUGACGUCAAGUCCUCAUGGCCUUUAUGUCCAGGGCUACACACGUGCUACAAUGACGGCACAAAGAGUUGCAAAACCGCGAGGUUGAGCUAAUCUCAAAAGACCGUUCUCAGUUCGGAUUGCACUCUGCAACUCGAGUGCAUGAAGCUGGAAUCGCUAGUAAUCGCGGAUCAGCACGCCGCGGUGAAUACGUUCCCGGGCAUGU
rnacentral:rRNA from 1 species